rnacentral:rRNA from 1 species
CAAUGGGCGAAAGCCUGACAGCAAUACCGCGUGAGGGAGGAAGGCUCUUGGGUUGUAAACCUCUUUUCUCAGGGAAGAAAAAAAUGACGGUACCUGAGGAAUAAGCAUCGGCUAACUCCGUGCCAGCAGCCGCGGUAAUACGGAGGAUGCAAGCGUUAUCCGGAAUGAUUGGGCGUAAAGCGUCCGCAGGUGGCGAUGAAAGUCUGCUGUUACAGAGUGAGGCUCAACCUCAUAAAAGCAGUGGAAACUACAUAGCUAGAGUACGUUCGGGGCAGAGGGAAUUCCUGGUGUAGCGGUGAAAUGCAUAGAGAUCAGGAAGAACACCGGUGGCGAAAGCGCUCUGCUAGGCCUGUACUGAU